CCUACGGGAGGCAGCAGUAGGGAAUCUUCCACAAUGGGCGAAAGCCUGAUGGAGCAACGCCGCGUGUGUGAUGAAGGGUUUCGGCUCGUAAAACACUGUUGUAAGAGAAGAAUGACAUUGAGAGUAACUGUUCAAUGUGUGACGGUAUCUUACCAGAAAGGAACGGCUAAAUACGUGCCAGCAGCCGCGGUAAUACGUAUGUUCCAAGCGUUAUCCGGAUUUAUUGGGCGUAAAGCGAGCGCAGACGGUUAUUUAAGUCU
rnacentral:rRNA from 1 species